rnacentral:rRNA from 1 species
AUUGAGCGCUGGCGGCAUGCUUUACACAUGCAAGUCGAACGGCAGCGCGGGGCAACCUGGCGGCGAGUGGCGAACGGGUGAGUAAUACAUCGGAACGUACCCAGAAGUGGGGGAUAACGUAGCGAAAGUUACGCUAAUACCGCAUACGUUCUACGGAAGAAAGUGGGGGACCUUCGGGCCUCAUGCUUUUGGAGCGGCCGAUGUCUGAUUAGCUAGUUGGUAGGGUAAAGGCCUACCAAGGCGACGAUCAGUAGCUGGUCUGAGAGGACGACCAGCCACACUGGGACUGAGACACGGCCCAGACUCCUACGGGAGGCAGCAGUGGGGAAUUUUGGACAAUGGGCGCAAGCCUGAUCCAGCAAUGCCGCGUGAGUGAAGAAGGCCUUCGGGUUGUAAAGCUCUUUUGUCAGGGAAGAAACGGUCGGGGUUAAUACCUCUGGCUAAUGACGGUACCUGAAGAAUAAGCACCGGCUAACUACGCGCCAGCAGCCGCGGUAA